rnacentral:rRNA from 1 species
UACGGAGGGGGCUAGCGUUGUUCGGAAUUACUGGGCGUAAAGCGUGCGCAGGCGGCUUUGCAAGACAGAUGUGAAAUCCCCGGGCUUAACCUGGGAACUGCGUCUGAUACUGGAUGGCUUGAGUUUGGGAGAGGGAUGCGGAAUUCCAGGUGUAGCGGUGAAAUGCGUAGAUAUCUGGAGGAACACCGGUGGCGAAGGCGGCAUCCUGGACCAACACUGACGCUGAGGAGCGAAAGCCAGGGGAGCAAACGGG